CAUUUUAUGCUCUGUAAUUGGAAUGAUGGGAAUGUAAAACCCUCUCAGAGUAACAAUUGGAGGGCAAGUCUGGUGCCAGCAGCCGCGGUAAUUCCAGCUCCAAUAGUGUAUAUUAGAGUUGUUGCAGUUAAAAAGCUCGUAGUUGGAUUUCUGUCGUGGUCAUCCGGUACCGCCCGUAUGGGUGCGCACCUGGUUUGACCUCGGCUUUCUUCCGGUAGCCUUCCGCGCUUCACUGCGCGGUUGGUGUUCCGGAACUUUUACUUUGAGAAAAAUAGAGUGUUUCAAGCAGGCUUGUCGCCCUGAAUACUUCAGCAUGGAAUAAUAAGAUAGGACCUUGGUUCUAUUUUGUUGGUUUCUAGGACCAAGGUAAUGAUUAAUAGGGACAGUUGGGGGCAUUCGUAUUUAACUGUCAGAGGUGAAAUUCUUAGAUUUGUUAAAGACGAACUACUGCGAAAGCAUUUGCCAAGGAUGUUUUCAUUAAUCAAGAACGACAGUAGGGGGUUUGAAGACGAUUAGAUACCGUCGUAAUCUCUACCAUAAACUAUGCCGAC
rnacentral:rRNA from 1 species